rnacentral:rRNA from 1 species
UACGUAGGGUGCAAGCGUUUGCUCCGGAAUUAUUGGGCGUAAAGAGCUCGUAGGCGGUCUGUCACGUCGGCUGUGAAAACCCGAGGCUCAACCUCGGGCCUGCAGUCGAUACGGGCAAACUAGAGUACUGCAGGGGAGACUGGAAUUCCUGGUGUAGCGGUGAAAUGCGCAGAUAUCAGGAGGAACACCGGUGGCGAAGGCGGGUCUCUGGGCAGUAACUGACGGCUGAGGAGCGAAAGCUGGGGAGCGAACAGG